AGAUGAAAUAUUAGUAAAUCUUUCAAGUCUUUGUGGUCUCUGCAGGAGGCAGAACACUUCAGUGGAAGUCAACUUUUCAUUAAGAAUCAGACCAAAUGUUGUCAAGAUUCUCAAGAAAAAUCACUCAGCUCAGUGAAGGGUACAAUCAGAUGACACCUCAGCAUGUUAACUUGUGUAAAGAUAAACAGUGUUUGACACACCUCACUGAAAAACAAGAAGAUUUUUUAAAAUUGAAUUUUCUGCAGAGAAAGGAUGUGAACACAGGCAGCUGUUAUGAAGUAAUUCACUGCUGGAUUUUUUUUCCAGUUCAUGUCAUCCCAGGGCCCAUGCAUCCAUUCCCAGUUCAUGAGAUUGGGAAAUUGCCGUCAUUUCAUUAUUUCUACAGAACAAACCUCCAGAGUUAUGUACUCAUUGACUUUGACUAGGAAUUUUGUACUGUCAGUCACUUGUGGGGAAGAAUUAUAUAUGAUCUUAUAAGCUGUUUCUCGUGUGCAGUUUCUGCGGAGUCAUAACUGUGACCUCCUUUCUGACAUUUCUGUGUUUGCUUUAUGUCCUCUUUGCUCAGUUAUGCUUCCGUGUUCUGAACUUUUUUAGAGAUGUAUGGAUAUUGAAGGUCUGGGUAACAUUAUCACCUUAUCAGACUUCAUAUCAAAGUUACUGCUAUGGGCUACAGAAUUAUAAUUUUUGUUUUUUGUUUACAUCACCUUACUGGAGUUUUUCAUUCGCUUCAGUUUAUACUUUUUGAAAGCAUUGCCCACAAAACAUUUUUGUUUUAAUUAUGAUUUUUCUACAGUUCUUCAUAUGUCUUGAAGUUGAGUACUCUAUAAAUCCCAGUUUUUGUAUUUUUGAACAAUGAAGAAUAUUUGAAGUUAUUUCCAGUGCAGAUAGGGAGAAAUAUCAAAGUAAAUCCCUGCAUUCUUUCAGUAGCCCAAAUACAGUGGACAGGUAAUCCACUGGCAGUUUCUACCUUUCUACUAGUAACCAAUAGCUGGCCAUGGAUUUUCAGGGUCUGUAAUCUUUGUUAUGUCCUAUAAAGUCAUCUAUUUCACUGAUAAUGUUAAAGCUUAAAAAAGAAGGUGUAUGAAACUGACAUCAGUAAUGGACAGAGAUUUGUGAUAUUAAGUGUAAAAACCACAUAUAAGCACACAUUAAUUUCCAGUAAAGGCUUCUAAAGAAAAGUUCUGCUCUAGUCUAAGUGAUUGGCUACAAUACUAUCAUUGAUGCUGCGCUGUGAGAGGAAUUCAAAUGCACACACACACACACAUACACGAAAAAAAGUGAUAUAGCAAAUAGACAAGGACUGUGAAUAGGUAACCAUCCUGUGCUGUUCAUUUUCUUUUUUCUAUUGGGCAAGAUAAAAGAAGAAAUAUAAUAAAGAUCCAUUACUGACUGUAAAACAUAUACCACAUCUUUGGUAUGGUAUUUCCACAGAAUAAGAUCAAAUAUUACUAGGAUUUCCUUCUGCACUCUAUAAUAUCUCUAAACAACAUAUAUACAAAUAUAUGCAGUGUAUAAUAUAUAUAUACAAAGAGUGUAAAAUCUACAUCUUUCUGUGUAAAUUCUGACGUAUGUAUCUGUAAAUCACCUUGUUUUGUUAAUUUUCUUUUCCUCUCCACCUAACAUAGCCUCAGUGUUCUUUUCUCCGCUUUCCACUUUUCUCUAAACUCAGACUGAAAGGUUUUUUGCCAAUAAUUCUGAGUUUAUUUUUUGAUUAGUAAUUGUUCUUACUUAUUAAAACGUGUGUACUGUUGUAUCUCAGUAACAUUUUGAAGCCUAUAAAAGCAAAAAUAAUAAUGUAUUUAAUGUGUCUACAUUAUCUGAAUGUACACUGUUAUAAGUUUCAUUAAAAUAACAG
rnacentral:lncRNA from 7 species